AUACUUACCUGGCAGGGGAGACACCAUGAUACCAAAGCAGGUUUCUCAGGGCGAGGCUUAUCCAUUUCACUCCGGAUGUGAUGACGCCUGAGAUUUCUCCAAAUGUGGGAAACUCGACCGCAUAAUUUGUGGUAGUGAGAGACUGCGUUCAUGUUUCACUCU